rnacentral:snoRNA from 1 species
UGGCCUGAAAUGAUGUUCUGAGUUCAUGUCUCUUCUCUGAGCUGUAUCCUGAAGACAGCCAGGUGCGUUUCUGAUCAGGCUU